rnacentral:rRNA from 1 species
UGGGGAAUAUUGGACAAUGGGCGAAAGCCUGAUCCAGCCAUGCCGCGUGUGUGAAGAAGGUCUUCGGAUUGUAAAGCACUUUAAGUUGGGAGGAAGGGCAGUAAGUUAAUACCUUGCUGUUUUGACGUUACCAACAGAAUAAGCACCGGCUAACUUCGUGCCAGCAGCCGCGGUAAUACGAAGGGUGCAAGCGUUAAUCGGAAUUACUGGGCGUAAAGCGCGCGUAGGUGGUUCAGCAAGUUGGAUGUGA